ACGAGAGGGAGGAGGAGGUGGAGGUGGAGGUGGAGGUGGAAGUGGAGGUGGAGAAGGAGAAGAAGGAGGAGGUGAAGGUGGAGGUGGAAGUGGAGGGGAGAAGGAGAAGGAGGAGGAGGUGAAGGUGGAGGAGGAGGUAACUUUAUUCUCUUACAGUCCUCAUAUAAGGCAACCACGAGGUCUGUUUUUUUUUUCUUUUUAAAGGAGGAGGAGGAGGAACAAAGAAACACAAAGAGAGAACAAACAACAGCAGGCCUGCUGGUCCGUACGAGGCUGUUUGUGAUAAGCUACACUAACUAUCUAAUCAAAGGUGGAAGAUGAAGGACAGCAAAGGCGAAGGCAGUGGUGAGCAAAUCAGGGAAGUAAAGAAACGGAACAGGCCGAGGCAGCAACACUAUAAUAUAGUCGCCAAGUCAGUCAGCUCGGGGCCUCGCCAUUCGCGCCAAUCCCGGGCAGAAUCUUGGCGGUUCAGUCUCCUUCCUUCGCCCUGUCAACUUCCCACUUUCGUCACAUCACUUUCCUUCCUUCCCUCGUUCCUUCCUUCCUUCCUUCCCUCGUUGUUGCUUUCCUUCCUUCCUUCCCUCGUUCCUUCCUUCGUCCUGUCAUCUUUCUCCAUCCUCCCUUCCUCCUGUCACCUUCCCCCCUUUAUUCCUCCCUUCCUCUGUCACCUUCCUUUGGCCUUCGUCCUGCCAUCCUUCAUCCAACAAAAACGGUCUCCGGCGCCUUCACUGUAUUUUCGAUUGAUUUGAAUUAAUCCCGUCUGGAAUUUUAAGAGGCUCAUCUUGCUAUCCACCCUCCUCGCCUCGCGGGGCUGGGGAGCGUCAGGGGGCCCAAGGCCUUCCUGGCGAGCGUCGCAGGGCUCAGGGCUCCGGCAGGGCGCCUCGGCUCCCCCGGAGCGUCCACGGAGGUGUCGGAGAUCCCGAGGGUCCGGGGGUUGGGGGGGCGUGAAGUGGCAGCAAGACAUGCAGUUACUGACCUCUUAUUAGCCAGACGACGCGUUAAUGACACGUUCCAAUGGAAGGUUCGACGCAUGGGGAGGUACAAUUCCCCUAAGCAAGGCAAGUGUCAUGCCAACUACGAUAAAAAACGAAAAAUCCAAAAAAAAUACAAAAACAAAAAAUCCUAAAAAAAAUGUCUUGUUUUGCUUUGUUUAAAGCGUCUUGUAUGUUGGUAUGGCGGGUCUUCUCUGGGGAGAAGGAGACUAACGCGUUCCAACAUACAAAACCAGGAAAAGACGAUAUGGAAACACCGAGAGAAGGAAGGGAAAGAAGGGAACACCAGAAGAAGGAAAAUGAAGAGAAGUAACACUAGAAGAAGGCAUAUGAAGUAACACAAGAAGAAGGAAGUUGAAAAGAGUAACACAAGAAGAAGGUAUUGAAAAGAGUAACACAGAAGAAGGUAUUGAAAAGAGUUACACAGAAGAAGGUAUUGAAAAGAGUAACACAGAAGAAGGUAUUGAAAAGAGUAACACAGAAGAAGGUAUUGAAAAGAGUAACACAGAAGAAGGUAUUGAAAAGAGUUACACAGAAGAAGGUAUUGAAAAGAGUAACACAGAAGAAGGUAUUGAAAAGAGUAACACAGAAGAAGGUAUUGAAAAGAGUUACACAGAAGAAGGUAUUGAAAAGAGUAACACAGAAGAAGGUAUUGAAAAGAGUUACACAGAAGAAGGUAUUGAAAAGAGUAACACAGAAGAAGGUAUUGAAAAGAGUUACACAGAAGAAGGAAUUUGAAAAGAGUAACACAGAAGAAGGUAUUGAAAAGAGUAACACAGAAGAAGGUAUUGAAAAGAGUUACACAGAAGAAGGUAUUGAAAAGAGUAACACAAGAAGAAGGAAUUUGAAGAUAAAUAACACAAGAAGAAGAAAUGUGAAGUAACACCGGAAGGAAAAUGCAGAGAAGUAACACUAGAAAAAUGAAAAUGGAAAUGAAAAGAAUCAUCCACCUUUCGGACCAAACCAACAUCACAAAAUUAUGGGCGAGUCUCUUCUGGGAGGAAAGCGGCUCGUUCAGACCCAGGAACACCAGAAAGGAUGAUAGAAACAUCAAGAAAAGGAAAACAGAAAAGUCAUCCACCUUUCGGCCCCUGGGGCCGCAGGGUGGGUGACGGGUGAAUCUCCUCUGGGGAGAAGGAGGCUAACCCACACAGUCAAGAUAGAGGCUAGAGAAAGGAAAUUAAAUCAUCGAGAAAAGAAAAUGAAAUUACAAUAUCAAGAAAAUAACUAAAAAGUCAUCGAGCUUUCGGCCCCUGGGGCCGCAGGGCGGGUGACGGGUGAGUCUUCUGGGGGGGAGGAGGCUCAUCCACAGCCAGCAACACCAACAGAAAGAAAAGAAAAGAAAAGAAAA